GCCUCGCUAGCUCAAUCGGUAGAGCGUGAGACUCUUAAUCUCAAGGUUGCGGGUUCGACCCCCGCGUGGGGCU
rfam:Pyronema omphalodes CBS 100304, CBS100304, WGS project CATG01000000 data, contig: Pcon_v1_contig382